GUUUUAAUAAUUUAAUGAAAAUAUUGGUCUUGUAAACCAAUCUUAAGGUCACCUUUUAAAACU
rnacentral:tRNA from 1 species